rnacentral:miRNA from 1 species
GAGGUGGGAGGAUCACUUGAGCCUGGGAGGUCGAGGCUGCAGUGAGCUGUGACUGCCACUGCACUCCAGCCUGAGUGACAGAGUGAGACCCUGUCUC